GGCAGGACGGCCCUCACCGCCCCUCCAGGGCCGCGCCGCUGGGUUGCGAGUGGAGCUGCUUGUCGCCUUCCUCGGAGCGGCUCCUGGCUGCUGUAGAACUCCACCUAAUCCUAGUUUGAGGAAACUGCAAGUUAAGAGAAAGCACUGUUCAGUUAUGAAACUUCCACGUUACUCUUAAAGAUCAGUAACAAACUAAGAAAACAGCAGAGAGACUGAACGUACAUGCUGCCAUGGUACAGAUGACUCAUGUCCUAAUCCUGGUAUCAGCAAUUCUUUGGGAAGUGAUACUGACAAAGCAAGGCUUUCUGCAGGUGUAGGAAACCAUGCAGGAUGAUCUGACUGUAGGACUUGGCAAGGAAAUGAUUUUGGCUUCAUUUUCAGAAAGACAGGACUUAAAACAUGAGUUGGGACAAGAUGAAAUGUAUAAGAGGGAAAAUUCAUUCAUGAGUAUUCAGGAAAACAAAAUUCCAACUGGACUGUACAAUUUGUGGCACAUGCUUCAGCCUGGGAUGCCUGGCUGCUGGAAACAAGAGACACUGCAAAAAGAAGAACCGGGCUGGGAAAUCUGAGGACUCUAAAUAAACCACAGCAAGAACAGAGAAAGACAUCAUUCUGAAGGUUCUGGGAACAGCAGAGAGAAAUGGCAAUAUGUGAAAGAUGCAUUGAAAUGCAUUGAAGGCCUCCACCUCUGCCUUAGAAACAAAGGAAUAUGAGAAAUAGAAGGAAGAAACAGGUAGAAAAUAAAGAGGAAUGGCUGAAAUUAUUUUAUCCCACAACACAGAAGACUUUGGAAGAAGGAAAAUGUACUGAAAUAAAAAAAAAAAAAAACAACAGUGAAGUGAAAUAAGGAAAAGCCAACACUUUAAUAUACUGUAUUACUUAUUCCAUUAUUAUGUUUUCCCAUGACAAUUUAUUGAUGGCAUUUCAUGGAUCAUCAAUAAAGUAACACUACAUAAAUCCCCAGAAUCUUAUUUCCUUCUGGUGUUAGUGCUAAAUUGGCGCUAACCUGUCAUUCAUGACAAAAGGGCAACCAGUUUCUUUGCUCAGCUUGAAUACCCGAAUAAGGAACAUCAAGAUAAACAAAUUAAUAAAUAAUUAGUUUCAAGGUAUUUUCAAAGCAAAUGGACAACUUCUGUUACCAAGAAGAAAGAGCAUUUGACAGCUAAUAAGACAGCGAGGCAUUCAACUUCCAAACAAUAAAAGGUGAGAGUUAAUAUUACACUGAUGAACCACAAGCAUACUGCUGGUUGGUUUUUUAUUAACAUUAAUGAAUGAGCUCAUAAUACUGAUCAGAAGUGGUGGUGGUGGUUUUUUUUUGAUUUGUUUUGCGGUUUUUUUUGUUUGUUUGUUUUUUGUUGUUUUUUUUUCUUUGUCCACACAUCUCACAAAAGAAUUUCAUGUGACAAACACUAUGGUACGUAUGGCAGAAACAAACAG